rnacentral:rRNA from 1 species
CACGGACCGCACGAACGUUAUUCGGUAUCACUGGGCUUAAAGGGUGCGUAGGUGGGCUGGUAAGUCAGUGGUGAGAUCUCCAGGCUUAACUUGGAAACUGCCAUUGAUACUAUCAGUCUUGAAUACCGUGGAGGUCAGCGGAAUAUGUCAUGUAGCGGUGAAAUGCUUAGAUAUGACAUAGAACACCAAUUGCGAAGGCAGCUGGCUACACGAAUAUUGACACUGAUGCACGAAAGCGUGGGGAUCAAACAGG